rnacentral:rRNA from 1 species
GAGCUUGCUUCUCUGGAUGAGUUGCGAACGGGUGAGUAACGCGUAGGUAACCUGCCUGGUAGCGGGGGAUAACUAUUGGAAACGAUAGCUAAUACCGCAUAACAGUAGAUGUUGCAUGACAUUUGCUUAAAAGGUGCAAUUGCAUCACUACCAGAUGGACCUGCGUUGUAUUAGCUAGUUGGUGGGGUAACGGCUCACCAAGGCGACGAUACAUAGCCGACCUGAGAGGGUGAUCGGCCACACUGGGACUGAGACACGGCCCAGACUCCUACGGGAGGCAGCAGUAGGGAAUCUUCGGCAAUGGACGGAAGUCUGACCGAGCAACGCCGCGUGAGUGAAGAAGGUUUUCGGAUCGUAAAGCUCUGUUGUAAGAGAAGAACGAGUGUGAGAGUGGAAAGUUCACACUGUGACGGUAUCUUACCAGAAAGGGACGGCUAACUACGUGCCAGCAGCCGCGGUAAUACGUAGGUCCCGAGCGUUGUCCGGAUUUAUUGGGCGUAAAGCGAGCGCAGGCGGUUAGAUAAGUCUGAAGUUAAAGGCUGUGGCUUAACCAUAGUACGCUUUGGAAACUGUUUAACUUGAGUGCAAGAGGGGAGAGUGGAAUUCCAUGUGUAGCGGUGAAAUGCGCUAGAUAUAUGGAGGAACACCGGUGGCGAAAGCGGCUCUCUGGCUUGUAACUGACGCUGAGGCUCGAAAGCGUGGGGAGCAAACAGGAUUAGAUAUCCUGGUAGUCCACGCCGUAAACGAUGA